rnacentral:rRNA from 1 species
GACGAACGCUGGCGGCGUGCCUAAUACAUGCAAGUAGAACGCUGAAGGAGGAGCUUGCUCUUCUGGAUGAGUUGCGAACGGGUGAGUAACGCGUAGGUAACCUGCCUGGUAGCGGGGGAUAACUAUUGGAAACGAUAGCUAAUACCGCAUAACAGUAGAUGUUGCAUGACAUUUGCUUAAAAGGUGCACUUGCACCACUACCAGAUGGACCUGCGUUGUAUUAGCUAGUUGGUGGGGUAACGGCUCACCAAGGCGACGAUACAUAGCCGACCUGAGAGGGUGAUCGGCCACACUGGGACUGAGACACGGCCCAGACUCCUACGGGAGGCAGCAGUAGGGAAUCUUCGGCAAUGGACGGAAGUCUGACCGAGCAACGCCGCGUGAGUGAAGAAGGUUUUCGGAUCGUAAAGCUCUGUUGUAAGAGAAGAACGAGUGUGAGAGUGGAAAGUUCACACUGUGACGGUAUCUUACCAGAAAGGGACGGCUAACUACGUG